rnacentral:rRNA from 1 species
AACGAACGCUGGCGGCACGCCUAACACAUGCAAGUCGAGCGCUACCUUCGGGUGGAGCGGCGGACGGGUUAGUAACGCGUGGGAACAUACCCUUUUCUGAGGAAUAACCAUUGGAAACGAUGACUAAUACCUCAUACGCCCUUCGGGGGAAAGAUUUAUCGGUGAAGGAUUGGCCCGCGUUAGAUUAGAUAGUUGGUGGGGUAAUGGCCUACCAAGUCUACGAUCUAUAGCUGGUUUGAGAGGAUGAUCAGCAACACUGGGACUGAGACACGGCCCAGACUCCUACGGGAGGCAGCAGUGGGGAAUCUUAGACAAUGGGCGCAAGCCUGAUCUAGCGAUGCCGCGUGUGUGACGAAGGUCUUAGGAUCGUAAAGCACUUUCGCCAGGGAUGAUAAUGACAGUACCUGGUAAAGAAACCCCGGCUAACUCCGUGCCAGCAGCCGCGGUAAUACGGAGGGGGUUAGCGUUGUUCGGAAUUACUGGGCGUAAAGCGCACGUAGGCGGAUCAGCAAGUUAGGGGUGAAAUCCCGGGGCUCAACCCCGGAACUGCCCUUAAAACUGUUGGUCUUGAGUUCGAGAGAGGUAAGUGGAAUUCCAAGUGUAGAGGUGAAAUUCGUAGAUAUUUGGAGGAACACCAGUGGCGAAGGCGGCUUACUGGCUCGAUACUGACGCUGAGGUGCGAAAGCGUGGGGAGCAAACAGG